rnacentral:rRNA from 1 species
UACGUAGGGUGCGAGCGUUAAUCGGAAUUACUGGGCGUAAAGCGUGCGCAGGCGGUUAUGCCAGGCAGAUGUGAAAUCCCCGGGCUUAACCUGGGAACCGCAUUUGUGACUGCAUAGCUGGAGUACGGCAGAGGGUGAUGGAAUUCCGCGUGUAGCAGUGAAAUGCGUAGAGAUCGGGAGGAACAUCAGUUGCGAAGGCGGCUCUCUGGACCAGCACUGACACUGAGGCACGAAAGCGUGGGGAGCAAACAGG